rnacentral:tRNA from 1 species
GAGUGUAGCUCAGUGGUAGAGUGCUUGCCUAGUGUGCACAAGGCCCAGAGUUUGAUCCCCAGCACCG